GAAACGGAUGCUAAUACCCCAUAGGUGGAUUGGUCGCAUGACGAAUUCAUUAAAGGUGGCUUUGCUACCACUCAUGGAUAGCCUCGCGGCGUAUUAGCUAGUUGGUAAGGUAAUGGCUUACCAAGGCAGUGAUACGUAGCCGACUUGAGAGGGUGAUCGGCCACACUGGGACUGGGACACGGCCCAG
rnacentral:rRNA from 1 species